GUCCUGCUACAUUUCUUGGUUCCCUGACAGGGAAACGAGGUGACUGAUGGAUGGCCGAGGCAGCCCCUUAGGCAGCUUAGGCCUGCCCCGCGGAGCAUCCCUGCAGGGGACUCCGGCCAGCCUGAGUGACGCGAUCCAAAGAGCGCUCCCGGUUAGGAAAUUGCCCCCAUUGGAACGCCUUGCCAGAGCAGCACGUAGCAGGCCCCCGUGGAGGAUCCACACAGUGGCUGAACACUGGGAAGGAACUGGCGCUUGGAGUCUGGACAUCUAAAAGUUGCUCCAUUGGGUUAGAGUCUCCCCGAGCGAGCUGGUCUCGGCAAGUGGCGUCCAUUCGUGGAGGCUCGAAUCCAGGUCAAAGGGUUGCUGGAGCGACGGUUGGAAUGGAAAACUAGCUGGAAGACACCCAAGUACUCUUAAAGCAAUCCCCGUGUUCUGGAGGCUGGGAAGUCCAAGGUCAAGAUGCUGACAAAUGAUGAGAGCUUUCUUGCUGCAUCCUCACAUGGAAGAAGGUGGAAGGGCAAGAGAGAAGAAACUAAUGCUAGGAAAUGCCUCUUUUAAAAGGGACUUAGUCCCAUUAACAAAGAAGCAGGUCUUAUGGCCUAAUCAUCUCAUAAAAGCACCACCUCUUAA
rnacentral:lncRNA from 10 species